rnacentral:tRNA from 1 species
AGCAUCCAUGGCUGAAUGGUUAAAGCGCCCAACUCAUAAUUGGCGAAUUCGCGGGUUCAAUUCCUGCUGGAUGC